GAAAUAUAAAAAUUAAGCUACUAACUUAACUUAUAGUAGAGAAUAUCUAUUAAUAUUUCU
rnacentral:tRNA from 1 species